GACGAACGCUGGCGGCGUGCUUAACACAUGCAAGUCGAACGGAAAGGCCCCUUUGGGGGUACUCGAGUGUCGACCGGGUGAGUAACACUUGAGUAACCUGCCCUUGCCUUCGGGAUAACUUCAGGAAACUGGGGCUAAUACCGGAUAGGAAUCCUUUCUGCAUGGUGGGGGUUGGAAAGCUUCGGCGGGUUUGGAUGGACUGGCGGGUUAUCAGCUUGUUGGUGGAGCGGUGGCUUACCAAGGCUUUGACGGGUAGCCGGCCUGAGAGGGCGACCGGCCACAUUGGGACCGAGGGACGGCACAGAUUCCGAAGGGAGGCAGCAGUGGGGAAGAUUGCAGGAUGGGCGGAGGCCGGAUGCAGAAAGGCUGCGUGCGGGAUGACGGCCUUAGGGUUGUAAAACGCAUGCAGCAGGGGCGAAGCUUGUGGUGACGGUACCUGAAGAAGAAGCACCGGCUAACUACGUG
rnacentral:rRNA from 1 species